AUCCAACUGACGAGUCCCAAAAGGACGAAACGCGCAUCCUGGAU
rnacentral:hammerhead_ribozyme from 1 species